GGAUGUGAUGGGGAGCGAAAUUUAGUAGCGAAGUAGCUGAUUUCACACUGUCAAGAAAAGUCUCUAUCGAGGUUAAAGGUACCCGUACCGCAAACCGACACAGGUGGGUGAGGAGAGUAUCCUAAGGCCAGCGAGAGAACUGUUGUUAAGGAACUCGGCAAAAUGACCCCGUAACUUAGGGAUAAGGGGUGCCACCAUCCGGUGGCCGCAGAGAAUAGGCCCAAGCGACUGUUUACCAAAAACAUAGGUUUCUGCUAAGUCGCAAGACGAUGUAUAGGAGCUGACGCCUGCCCGGUGCUGGAAGGUUAAGGGGAUCUGUUAGAGCAAUCGAAGCAGUGAACUUAAGCCCCAGUAAACGGCGGCCGUAACUAUAACGGUCCUAAGGUAGCGAAAUUCCUUGUCGGGUAAGUUCCGACCCGCACGAAAGGCGUAACGAUUUGGGCACUGUCUCAACAACAGACUCGGUGAAAUUGUAAUUCCGGUGAAGAUGCCGGAUACCUGCGACAGGACGGAAAGACCCCAUGGAGCUUUACUGUAGCUUGACAUUGGGUCUUGGUACUACAUGUACAGGAUAGGUGGGAGGCUUUGAAACCAGGACGCCAGUUUUGGCGGAGCCAUCCUUGGGAUACCACCCUUGUAGUACUGGGACUCUAACCAUAGGCCAUGAAUCUGGUCUUGGGACACUGUCAGGUGGGCAGUUUGACUGGGGCGGUCGCCUCCCAAAAGGUAACGGAGGCGCUCAAAGGUUCUCUCAGUACGGUCGGAAAUCGUACGUAGAGUGUAAAGGCAAAAGAGAGCUUGAUUGCAAGACAUACAGGUCGAGCAAGGAUGAAAAUCGGACUUAGUGAUCCGGUGGUUCUGCGUGGAAGGGCCAUCGCUCAACGGAUAAAAGCUACCCUGGGGAUAACAGGCUUAUCUCCCCCAAGAGUCCACAUCGACGGGGAGGUUUGGCACCUCGAUGUCGGCUCAUCACAUCCUGGGGCUGUAGUAGGUCCCAAGGGUUGGGCUGUUCGCCCAUUAAAGUGGUACGCGAGCUGGGUUCAGAACGUCGUGAGACAGUUCGGUCCCUAUCCGUCGCAGGCGUAGGAAAUUUGAGAAGACCUGUCCUUAGUACGAGAGGACCGGGAUGGACG
rnacentral:rRNA from 1 species